rnacentral:siRNA from 1 species
GGAGGAGCUUGAUGCUGUGGUUGA